rnacentral:rRNA from 1 species
GACNAAAGUCUGACGGANCACGCCGCGUGAGUGAUGAAGGUUUUCGGAUCGUAAAACUCUGUUGUUAGGGAAGAACAAGUACCGUUCGAAUAGGGCGGNACCUUGACGGUACCUAACCAGAAAGCCACGGCUAACUACGUGCCAGCAGCCGCGGUAAUACGUAGGUGGCAAGCGUUGUCCGGAAUUAUUGGGCGUAAAGCGCGCGCAGGCGGUUUCUUAAGUCUGAUGUGAAAGCCCCCGGCUCAACCGGGGAGGGUCAUUGGAAACUGGGGAACUUGAGUGCAGAAGAGGAGAGUGGAAUUCCACGUGUAGCGGUGAAAUGCGUAGAGAUGUGGAGGAACACCAGUGGCGAAGGCGACUCUCUGGUCUGUAACUGACGCUGAGGCGCGAAAGCGUGGGGAGCGAACAGGAUUAGAUACCCUGGUAGUCCACGCCGUAAACGAUGAGUGCUAAGUGUUAGAGGGUUUCCGCCCUUUAGUGCUGCAGCAAACGCAUUAAGCACUCCGCCUGGGGAGUACGGUCGCAAGACUGAAACUCAAAGGAAUUGACGGGGGCCCGCACAAGCGGUGGAGCAUGUGGUUUAAUUCGAAGCAACGCGAAGAACCUUACCAGGUCUUGACAUCCUCUGACAACCCUAGAGAUAGGGCUUCCCCUUCGGGGGCAGAGUGACAGGUGGUGCAUGGUUGUCGUCAGCUCGUGUCGUGAGAUGUUGGGUUAAGUCCCGCAACGAGCGCAACCCUUGAUCUUAGUUGCCAGCAUUCAGUUGGGCACUCUAAGGUGACUGCCGGUGACAAACCGGAGGAAGGUGGGGAUGACGUCAAAUCAUCAUGCCCCUUAUGACCUGGGCUACACACGUGCUACAAUGGGCAGAACAAAGGGCAGCGAAGCCGCGAGGCUAAGCCAAUCCCACAAAUCUGUUCUCAGUUCGGAUCGCAGUCUGCAACUCGAC